AUUGAACGCUGGCGGCAGGCCUAACACAUGCAAGUCGAGCGGAUGAAGGGAGCUUGCUCCUGGAUUCAGCGGCGGACGGGUGAGUAAUGCCUAGGAAUCUGCCUGGUAGUGGGGGAUAACGUCCGGAAACGGGCGCUAAUACCGCAUACGUCCUGAGGGAGAAAGUGGGGGAUCUUCGGACCUCACGCUAUCAGAUGAGCCUAGGUCGGAUUAGCUAGUUGGUGGGGUAACGGCCUACCAAGGCGACGAUCCGUAACUGGUCUGAGAGGAUGAUCAGUCACACUGGAACUGAGACACGGUCCAGACUCCUACGGGAGGCAGCAGUGGGGAAUAUUGGACAAUGGGCGAAGGCCUGAUCCAGCCAUGCCGCGUGUGUGAAGAAGGUCUUCGGAUUGUAAAGCACUUUAAGUUGGGAGGAAGGGCAGUAAGUUAAUACCUUGCUGUUUUGACGUUACCAACAGAAUAAGCACCGGCUAACUUCGUG
rnacentral:rRNA from 1 species